CCAGUUGAUGAUGAUGAUCUAAUCUCAUAUAUUGUUGGUGGAUUGAAUCCUGUCUUCACCCCUUUUAUCACAUCUCUAGCUUUGCUACCCGAGACCAAUCGAUUACCUUUGAUGCUUUUCAAGCGGAACUACUUAAUUUUGAGC
rnacentral:snoRNA from 1 species